UUUUUUUUUUUUUUUGAAAAAUUUUAAUCAAGAUGUUAUACUGAGUAUUCUCAAUAAUCUUUUCAGCUCCUAUCAAAUGAUCAGAUUGUUUUGCUCUUUUGACCUCUUAAGGAAAUGAGAUAUCUUAAUAUUGAGUCAUUCUCUCUCUUAUAGAAGUGGAACAAGAGAGGCCCAGGAGGGCAGAGAUACUUGCCCAAGGCCCUGCAGGAAGUCACAAUCUAUGUAGGUCAGGCAGUGUAGGCUGUGAUAAACAACCUGACUUAAAGCCAAAAAGUUAUUUUCCUGCUCAUGCAACAUGCCCGUCCUAGCCCAGCAUGGUCAUGUAGAGAUGGAAGCUAAUGAGACUCUGUCCUGACACAGGAAGAAGCAAGGAAAACAGCACAACAUAACACCAGAUCCUUAACCCACUGAGCGAGGCCAGGGAUCAAGCUGGCAUCCUCACGAAUACUAGUCGGGUUCAUAACCCACUGAGCCACAAUGGGAACUCCACUGACACCCCAGGUCAACAGGAUCCUGUCCAAACUGUGGCCCAGCACAAGGACACAUCGGUCCCAGCCUUGGUUGUUCCAGGGGCCACAGCCUGUGCUGAAGUCAGUAGUGGAUCCUCAGGGCUCCACCUGGAUGGGGCACUUUGGGGAUGGUUGACCUCAUCUUGCAGGAAAAUGUGAGCGAGGGAUACGAGAGUCAGAAACAUGGGGGCAAGGGUGGGUGGGGUGCUAUUCAAAAUCUUUACUAAGGGAGUUCCCUUUGUGGCUCAGCAGUUAAUGAACCUGACUAGGAUCCAUAAGGAUGAGGGAUCCGCAGACACCGCUUGGAUCCCACGUUGUUAUGACGUAGGCCGGCAGCUGUAGCUCCAAUUUGAUCCCCAGGCUGAGAACUUCCUUAUGCCAUGGGUACGGCCCUAAAAAGCAAAAAAAAUAAAUGAACAAAUAAAAGGCAAAAAACCAAACUCUUUAUCAAGCAUGAUGUGGCCUUGAAUAGUCAGAACUUGCACAGGUUGGGGUGUGGGAACUGGGAAGCUUACACAGUUAGCUGCUGAUUGUGGGCAGGGCUAGGGGGCUGGGAGGAGGGCCCAGGUGACCAGAAGAGUAGGGGCGCUCAGAAGCUUAGAACAAACGCUGUGCAUCAACUGACCAGAAGUAGGUCAAUAUUUCAUCCAGAUCCAAAGGCCCACUCACUGCAUAUCCACCCAGGACAGGCCAGAGGCUUCAGCUCCUCUCUCUCUCUCAGUUCUAACGCCCAGAGCAUGCUACCAGGGAUUUCUCCAGUGUUUUCACAAUUUCUGAUAAAUUGGCCUAAUCAAGAGUGUGCUUAACACACACAGACACAUAGAGAAAGCCGGAGAAUGAAAGAUAGGAAAAGAUUCUGUACCAGGAGGGACAGAGGGCACCUCAUGGGAUAGGUCGAGAAGAGACAGGACGGAGACAGAAUUGCAAAGACACCCCCCCAUCCCCACACACACCCCAUACACACAGACUUGAUGGUGUGAUUGGUACUAGGACAAGACCGAGGAUCAGAAAUACCUCACAUGUAAAUUUAUGCAAAUGAGCAUGCGUAUACCUCGGCAUUGACGGGGGGGGGGGGGGGGCAACCAAGAGCUCUCAAGGGCUUCUCCCAAUGACACACCUUCCCUUACACCCAUAGGAAACGGCCUGUCUGGGCGAGACCUUGGCCCGCUCCAAGCUCUUCCUCUUCUUGACCGUGCUCCAGAGCUUCUCCUUGGGCUCUCCCAAGCCCCUGCAGGACAUCAACCUCACACCCAGGACGAACGGGCAGGGGAGGCUGCCCCCUGUGGUCCAGGUCAGCUUCCUGCCCUGCAGGGAACCGAGACAAGAGAUGCAGAUCCCCUCAGAGUCCUCGAAUCCAGCCCCUAUUUCUACGCAGAAUUCAUGAGUUCGAGUCCCCUGACGCCUUCCUGCUCACUGGUUCAUGUGGAAAGUCCCUUCUGCAGUCUCUCCUCCAUCCAGCCUGCUGCAGUUGCCACUCAUCCCCAGAUGCCCUGAACGGUUGACUGAGGCUUUCAGGGUCGGGAAAUACUUUCAACAACUGAAUGUUACCACUGCUCCGGGCACAGUUAGGAUCACAGAGACCCCAAAGGAAGGAAAGAUUUAGAUCCAAGCCUACCCAGGAUCCCUGCCUCCCUCCCUUGGCCACAUCUGCACUCGGCACCCCUGCCCUCCUCCUCCUUCCUUGAACUGAAGUGGCCAGUGCAGCCCUCAACCUCUGUGCUGUGUGACUCCAGAAUAUCUCCCUACCUCUGAUUUUAUCCUCCCGAGCCAGUGAGAUCAAAACAAGGUCCCACUACUAUUCCUGGACUAAAUGACUCUCUGUGCUGCUGUGCUUUUUUUCUUUCUUCUUUCUUUUUUUUCUUUUGGUAAAAUUCACACAUCAUCAAAUUAAUCAGUAACCAUUUUAAGGAGUACAUUUCAAUGGCAUUCAGGACAACCACAGUACUGUGUAACCAUCGAGUCUAUCUAUUCCAAAAUAUUUUCACUGUCAUUCCUCCAGAAGGAAACUCCAUCCCAUUAAGAUGUCAGUGCCCAAUUCUUGCCUCCCACCGGCCAAGUUUAAAACCCUUGGGAGGGAGGAGUUUCCACUGUGGUACAAGGGGCCUGGUGGCUUCUUGGGAAUUCUGGGCCACAGGUUCUAUCCCCGGCCCAGCAGUAGGUUAAGGAUCUGGAAUUGCCACAGCUGCAGCUUAGGUCUUGACUAUGGCUUGAAUCAGAUCCCUGGCCCCAGGAACUUCAUAUGCUGAGAGGCAGCAAAAAAAGACCAAAAAAAAAAAAAAAAA
rnacentral:lncRNA from 9 species